UACGUAGGGUGCAAGCGUUGUCCGGAAUUAUUGGGCGUAAAGAGCUCGUAGGCGGUGUGUCGCGUCGGCCGUGAAAACCUGCAGCUUAACUGUGGGCUUGCGGUCGAUACGGGCAUCACUGGAGUUCGGCAGGGGAGACUGGAAUUCCUGGUGUAGCGGUGAAAUGCGCAGAUAUCAGGAGGAACACCGGUGGCGAAGGCGGCAUCCUGGACCGGCAUUGACGCUGAGGAGCGAAAGCCAGGGGAGCAAACGGG
rnacentral:rRNA from 1 species